CUUUACAUUACGAGCUUGGUGGUGUAAUUUGUGUGGAAAAGAAAAUUAAUUUUGUCUUGUUUAAAAUGUUUAUUAAUAUCGUUACCGCUCAUUAUCGCCUCGUAUUUGACAAGUACCAAGAAUGAGGUUAUGAUUUGUUAUAACCUGUCAAAAUGCGAUUUAAAAAGGAUUUUUUGUAAAAAACGUGGGAGAUAUCGAUAUUGCAAUUGUUAAGACGUAACAAAAAAUUGAUUACAAUUGAUUAGAAUCGAACAAUACGACGUGGAUUCGUGAAAAAUCCGUGACACCACCUACCACAUCAGGUUUUUUGUUCAAUCUCGGAAACUGGAGAAACGUAGUUAUGUUAGAACAAUCGCCCAAAAUCUAAUAAAUCGAUAACUAACACAUAUCGCGAACUUUGUAUCAAUAUCAAAGGUUGUCCCUUAUCUUUAUGUCCUUUUUUUGCUAAAAAUAUAAAUACGGCGUAUUCUUUUUUGAUGGGUUCUCAAUUGGCCACUUUCGAGACAUCUGCUUUUUUAAUCGGAUCACGAUAAGAAAUUAAAAUCAAAAUGGUACGGGCUUUUAUUGUAUUCAUUUAUGUAAUUUGCUAAUAAUAAUAUUGUGACAUAA